rnacentral:piRNA from 1 species
UAUUGGACAGUGGUUGCAAAAUAUCUAA